UUCGCGGUAGCUUAAACCCCCAAAGCAGUGGGGUUACAACCCACCAAUGCCAGUCACUAUGGCCCCCAAGA
rnacentral:tRNA from 1 species